GUCAACGUAGCUCAACGGUAGAGCGCCGGUCUCCAAAACCGGAUGAUGCAGGUUCGAAUCCUGCCGGUGGCG
rnacentral:tRNA from 1 species